rnacentral:misc_RNA from 1 species
GAUGAAGAACGCAGCGAAAUGCGAUAAGUAAUGUGAAUUGCAGAAUUCAGUGAAUCAUCGAAUCUUUGAACGCACAUUGCGCCCAUUAGUAUUCUAUUGGGCAUGCCUGUUCGAGCGUCAUUUUGACCACUUAAGCCUGGCUUAGUGUUGGGAAUCUACUUUUGUAGUUCCUUAAAUCUAGUGGCGGAGCCGCAGUGGCCUCUGAGCGUAGUGAUUUUUUCUCGCUUUGGAAGGUUCUGUAGUUUUUGCCAUAAAACCCCCAAUUUUUUAAGGUUGACCUCGGAUCAGGUAGGAAUACCCGCUGAACUUAAGCAUAUCAAUAAGCGGAGGA